AGCCUGCAACCCGGCUCCGUGAAGCUGGAUUCGCUAGUAAUCGCGCAUCAGCCAUGGCGCGGUGAAUACGUUCCCGGGCCUUGUACACACCGCCCGUCAAGCCAUGGAAGCCGGGGGCGCUUGAAGUGCGUUGCCGCAAGGCGCGCCCUAGAGCGAAACCGGUGACUGGGGCUAAGUCGUAACAAGGUAAC
rnacentral:rRNA from 1 species